ensembl:miRNA Mir7673 microRNA 7673
UUUGACUGAGAGGUAAGGAAUGAGUUGUACUGUGUUACUCAUUCCUUACCUCACCGUCAAAGGA